AAGAGGAUCGCACUGCUGCUCAUCCCCACGGGACACAAGCACACACACUGGGACCAACCUUAAACCCUCCAAGACCUUCGUUCUAAACGUUUCGGCCUUUUAUUUACGACAAAAAAACACGUUUUAGUUAUUUUUGUUUGUUUUGCACCAAGUUGGAUCUAACAGUCUGAAUGAGGUACCAAAGUGAGGUGGACGGCCCAAAACUACUGUGCAUUCUAUCCUUCAUUCCACCGGAGUCUGUGUAGUUGUUCAAUCAGAUUUCAGUGGUGUGAAGUGUAGGAAACACGGAAAGAUCGCAUCCCUUUCCGCAAUGCUACGCAUGUAUUAACAGCAGUUAUGGGGUGAAGCACAUGUCGAGAGUACCACUGGAAGUUUUGGAAAACACACACGCAUGACUUGUUUUCAGUUGAUGUAUAAUUUGCCAUGUGCUUUAUACACGGAUCAAUGCAGGCCGUGACCAUUUUAUGCUAAACGCUGUGAACGCUAAGCUCUAGCUGUCCUAUUAUGCAGCGAGCGCUUUUAAGUUCAGCGUAUCUAAACAUCUAUGUAAAGUAACGUACCUCACCCUGCCCUUUAGCACGGCGCUUUAGCUUCACACAACAUGGCAUGUUUGUUCAUUUGCUGUUGUGAAGAGCGUCGAGGCGGGCUGAAUACACACACACCUACACAAAUAAGAUUCACAAAGCCUGCCAAGAUGUAUUUAUGUAUGCUGGUUCAGCCUUUAUCCUCUCAACCCACAGUAAUAAACUCACUUUACAAAAUGUCUUUGUGUGAAUUGCUUCAUCCUGACAAUAAACUACUACAAUAAAACACAA